CCCCCUUCGCAGCUCCUCCACCCAGCUGAUUUGACGUCACAUAUGGAGCCACAAUAUUGGUCAACGAGAGAGAGAGACCACAGAAAAGUUCUCUCUCUCUCUCUCUUUGACUAAUAUCGUGGCUCUAUAUAUGUGACAUCAAUCAGCUGGGUGGAGCUGGGAAGGGGGAGCUGGAGGGAAGGCGCACGAUUUCACGAGGAGCACGAUUAUACGCUACACCGGGAAUCGAGGCGAGCGGGCGGGAUGGUUUCUUUACGAGGAAACGAGUGCAGAACUGUAUUGUCUGAAAUCAGUGAGCAAUUUUAUACAUUUUUCAGUACCUUAGAACUCUUAAUUAUGUCCCCCAAAAAUAUUGGGCAUAAGUGAGUGGCCCUAGCUGUGACUUAAAAGCUGGAAUUAAUAAGGAAAUUAGAGAAAGGAGUCAAGAGUUGCGAAUAUUUGUGAGGAGUAUGGUCUGGCCAAGCAAACUGUAUCGCACGUCAGUAAAUCAGAAGAUAAGCUGGUAAAAUAUUUUGCUAAAUAGUGUGCGGAUGUAUCAUCCAUUAAAAGUGGUAAAGGUGCACCAUGGAAAAAUAAAGUGACUGAUCAAGUACAAUGUGUGGCAUCUGCUUCUUUUGUGGUGUUGGACUUUCUGUCCAGCAACUGGAACAUCAGGAAGAACUAAGCUGUAGAUUGCUGAGUCACCGUGGCCCAGAUAUUCAUGCCAAGGAGGUCAUCUCUAUCACUGAAAAGGUGACUGGUGUAUUUGAAGGAAAUGUGUUGUGGCUUCAAGGACCUCAGCCCACCUCACAGCCUCUCCUGGACUCCCAUGGCAGCGUCCUGCUUUGGAAUGGAGACAUCUUGGCUGGACACACGGUUCCCUGUGACAUGAGUGACACUCAGUAUGUGGCAGAGCAACUUGCCUUGGGACAGCUGGAGCAAGUGCUGUCAUUCCUAGCUGGCAUCAAAGGUCCCUGGGCCCUUGUUUACUUCCACCGUCCCUCCAAAAAACUGUACUUUGGUAGGGAUGUAUUUGGUCGUCACAGCUUGUUGUGGCAGCCACCCUCACAUUCGCUACCCUGGCUGCGUGUAACCUCGGUGUGGCAGCAGUGUAGCCAGAUGCAAGAAGUGAUGGCUUAUGGUCUCUACACCAUAGAUUUUUCUUCUGUAACCUUGGAUGAGGGAUUUAAAAUAGAUCUGGUGCCUUGGUCACACUUAUCAGUGGAUGAUCUGCCUUCACUUCACCCAGCAAUAGAAGUGAAACAGCAGGUAAAACUAGGAUCAGGCUUGAAGCACUCUCUCAAUAUGAGUCUGCCUUCCAUGGCCAUCCUUGAGCAGUUAAAUAGUUUGCCAUCCACAAUGGAACAUCACAACCUGGAGGCCUUCAGUGCUGUCCUGGGAAGUAAUGUUGAGCAGCUCAUGGAGGUUCUGAUCCAAGCAGUGCAGCGGAGGGUAGACAAGUGCCCACCCUGCUGUCAAUUCUGUACUGCCUCACCCAGCCUCUGCCACCAUUCUAGGAUUGCUGUGUUGUUCUCUGGAGGUUUGGAUUCUGCUAUGCUUGCCCUCCUUCUUGACUUCUGCAUACCAAAGGAAGAGAGUAUUGAUUUGCUGAAUGUUGCUUUUCCUACUAGAGUAUAUUCUAAUAAUAAUGCUAAGGGUAAGAUUAAGCCAAAGCACAAGCCAAGCAAUCAUGUACCAUCUUCUGUGAGCUUUGAGGUUCCAGACAGAAUUGCUGGCAGGGAAUGUUGGCAGCAACUGCAGCAGCUCAGACCCCAUAGAGACUGGAAUUUUGUGCAGAUUGAUGUGACGAGUGAGGAGCUGUGCCUAGAGAGGGAGAGGAUCAUCCGACACCUUGUAGCUCCUCUGUCUUCUGUCCUUGACGACAGUAUUGGCUGUGCCCUUUGGUUUGCUGGUCGAGGUGAAGGAUCAGUUAAGGGUUGUCCCUAUGUUUCACCUGCACGGGUACUGCUUUGUGGUCAAGGUGCAGAUGAGCAGCUUGGGGGGUAUUCACGCCAUCGGGGACGUUUUGGUACAGGAGGCUGGUCAUCUCUUCUGGAGGAGAUAAAGAUGGAAGUUGCUCGUAUUCACACCAGGAACUUGGGUCGAGACAACCGUAUCUUGGCCCAUCAUGGCCGAGCCCCACGAUUUCCAUACUUAGAUGAAGAUGUAGUGACCACUCUCAACAAGAUGCCUAUAUGGAUAAAGGCGAACUUGCUCCUGGGACGAGGUACAGGAGAAAAACUGUUGCUUCGUCUGGCUGCUGCCACACUUGGCCUCACUAAGGCAGCCAACCUUCCAAAACGAGCUAUUCAGUUUGGCUCCAGAAUUGCCAAGCUGGAGGACCAAAAAGAGAAAGGCUCUGACCAAUGCUAUCGCCUUAGAUGUGAUCCUGCUGACUCUGAUGUGACAUGAUUGACUGGUGAAUGAUCUAGUGGUAUCAAGUGGCUGUGUCACAUAUUUACCCAUGGCCAAGAGGACCUAGAUUCAAGUCUUUUGCUGACAGAGACAACCUGGGCCUGUCCCUUUUAUGCUGUAGCUCCUACUCUUUCAACUGAGAAAAGCUUCUUGGAACCAUGACUCGAUGCUAUCUGAUGGUGAGGAGUAACAGCAACUUCAUGAUCAUAACAAAACACAUCAACAUCCUCACCAUUAUGGCAGCAGGACGAAAGAGAUCGAGCUAUAUAAUCUCCUACAAACUACAAGUGAUAAACUAUGCCAAGAAACAACAGAGCUGUGGCAAGGGAUUUUGGACCACCACCUAUGGAAAAAAUUAAUCGUGUCUGGUGACAACAAGAAAACAAGAAGAGUGCAAGAAAAGGUAAAUGCAACCUUCAUUGCCCAGCCCCACAUUAGUUAGAACUUCAGGAUAACAUUGCUUUUGCAGCAAUAUUUUCUGCCAGUGUAAUAUGAUGCUAGAUUGUCUUCAACAAUAUAUGCUUGAAUACACUAAAAACUUUUUUCCUGAAUUUGACCUGCUGAAAUUGUGGUGCAUCUUAUAUGCUUGUGUGCCCUAUAUGCUGUUAAAGAUGAUAUAUACUUGUAAAAAAAGCUUAGGUUCCUCUUCACAUGUCUUUAGUAGGUCUCUUUCAAAUUUUCUGUCCUCCUUCCUUCUUAUUCUAACAUAUAAAACAAUAUGAAAAGCAUUCAUACCUCUUUUUAUUGCUUCCUAUUGUCUUCAUUUUGUUGCUUCUUUAAUUUCUCCCAAGGUACAUCCUUACUCUUCUUAGCUUUUGUGCAUGUAGCAUUAUACCACAUGUGUUUGCUUUCUUUUACUCUGAAUUUGGGAACAUAUGCCUUUACCCCUUUAUCAUACUUUUCUAGGAACAUUUCAUACUUCUCAGGUUCUGUUUUGCCCUCCAUGAUUUCUUUCCAAUUAAUACUACCAAAGUAUUUACUUAAUCUAUCAAAAUUUGUCUUGGCGUGAUUCAAUUUUUUUGUGUAUGACUUUCUUUGCAUUUCAAUAUUUCCCUAUCCUCCACUUCACUUCAAAACCACAUGAUCACUUUUCCCCAUCAGACUAUAAUAUUUAAUGGUUGGACAAGUCUCUGCUUUCUUUGUGAAUACCAAAUCAAGCAUGGAUGGUUCCUCUUCUUCUCAAAACCUUGUAUAGUCCUUCACCCACUAGUCCAUUAUAUUUACUAUUGCCAAUUGUAGCACUUCUUCCCCUCCAUCGUCCAGCAUAACCAUUUAUUUCCAUUUCUUCCAAAUUUACAUAUUUGUAGUUGAGGUCUCUGAUGAGUAGUACUCUCCUGUCCUUCCUCAGCAUGUUGUCCAAGCAUUUAGCACUUCUCUUGCAUUUCCUUGGCUUAUCCAGUCUCCAUGUAUUAGCCUUUGGUGGCACAAAUGUUGCUAUGAUUCUCCACCUUUCCCUCCCACUGGUCCUAAUUGUUAUACUUAACCUUUUCACUCUGGGCAUGAGAAAACAGCUCCAGGCACAGUAUCCAGGCUAGGUGGGGGUGGCGAGUUACUUGGAGAGGCAG